rnacentral:rRNA from 1 species
CCCCUAGACGUUCUGGGCUGCACGCGCGCUACAAUAAUACGCACAGCGAGUAUCACCGGGCUCGAAAGGGCAAGGUAAACAAUAGAAAAGGUACUGUAAUGGUUAUAGAUCCUUGUAAUUAUUGAUCUUCAACGAGGAAUUCCUAGUAAGUAUGUGUCAUCAUCACGCACUGAUUACGUCCCUGCCCUUUGUACACACCGCCCGUCGCUCCUACCGAUUGGGUGAGCCGAUGAAACUCUCGGAUGUAGGCUAUUCAUAGCCCGCAGAAGAGAUUUGAAUCGUAGCGCUUAGAGGAAGGAGAAGUCGUAACA